UCUCAGAGGCGGGCUUCCCUCGGAAAACGGAGGGUUGAAACCCAGAAAGCUCCUCGGAGCCCUUCUGGGGUUCGGGCGAUCUGGGCAGAGAACUCUCGGGUGGCAAGGAAUUAAGGGCAGCGCGAACGACGGUCUCUAGACAAGUAUGAAGCCUCCCCUGAGUGUGUCCGGCGCUCAGGGGGUGGACCGGGGUGUUGGUUUCAAGGAGGGGGCCAUCGUUUGCACCACGGCGUCCAGAAAUACUCAUCCUUUGCCCUUCGGGGAGGCAACAGAGCAGCCAACUGGGGACCCUGCGGCCUCCUCCAGGUCUGGACGCAGGGAGGGGUGAGGCUGUUCUGGCCAAAGAGACUGGAGAUCCAGUAUCAGCAAGCUACUUUCUUGGUAAACCUCCAUUUCCCAAUGCUCAUCUUUGUCCUCUACCCCCACCCAUCCCAAGGCAAAUGAUGAAAACAUCUAUUGGAUCCAGCCUUUGCUAUCUUCUCCAUGCUGCUCAUAGUGGGUCUAGCAAUGUCCCAUUCUCGGUAAUGUUUGGUAGGUCUAAAACAUCCUCACGAAAUGUUCCCCAAAUGUUCUGCUCCAGCUGAGCAACUAAUAACAAUGGGAAGAUGCAGAAAAAAAAUGCAUGGAGCAUAAUGUUAGUUUUGGGACUCGUCAGUGGCAACGUUUUAGAGAUGCCAUGAAGAAUUCCUGGUAAUAAUCCUUCUUCCUACAGCAUUUAGCAAUGAAUACUAUGGGAUUAUGGCUAAAAGAUGGUCAAGACUGCCUCAGCCAUUAGGAUCAGAAUUCUAAGUUCCAAAGAAGAGCAAACUCAAGAGGAUUUCCUCAGGCCUCUGACUAUAGAUGCUGCCUGGGGAGAACAGGUGCUACACUCAAAACAUUCUCAUUUUAUUUAUAUCCUCCCUGAACUAGUACCCAACUCCAUAACCCCAGACUCAAAUAACAGAAAUAAAAGCCAUCUCACUGAUUAUAAGCUCUCUAGUUAUUACAAAAAUAAAUAAGCAUCAAUCAACCAACAGGCAUCAGAAUGAGAAAAUCACUGAUUUGAGACAUUCAGGCUGCAGGAAAAGAACACUUUUUGUUAAUAUGUAACUAUAUCUUCAGUAGUACAGAAAAAUGAGAAGAACGAGAGUUCUUACCUGGAUUUGCGGCUCACUUAAAGUAGAGCACCUGAGAUGCUGGGAAAUCAUAAAGAUAAAUAACCAAUCUAACAAAUUCCUGCCAUGAGACCAAAGUGAUCCUUGACUACUCUAUUAGUAAGCGACUCUGAGCCAAGAGUACGAACCUGUAAGUGGAGUGGUGGUUGGCCCAUUAGAAAUCUCUGAAAGAUCUAAACAUGACAGUUACCUUCCUACUGGACUCAUACUUCUCAAUUCCCUCUCCUAAAAGAAUACUUUUGGGCUGGCCCCAGUGGCUCACACCUGUAAUCUCGGCACUUUGGGAAGCCAAGGUGGGAGGAUUGCUUGAGGACAAGAGUUUGAGACCAGCUCGGUGGAAACAUAGCACCAUCCAUGUCUCUACCAAAAAAAGAAAAAAAAAAG
rnacentral:lncRNA from 1 species